rnacentral:misc_RNA from 1 species
GGCGUUCUUGUAUCAUGAUUGUGUAAUGUUUCCGGCAGCCAAAUUGAAGCUAUACCCACGACCAAGGAAAACAGUGAUAUGCAUAAGCAAGGCAAGAAGUAGGGAAAUCUCCCAAAUAUAGAAUCCUUUGAGAAUGCAGCCGGAUAUUUCUCUGCAGGCUGAGCAAAGAAGCCUCCUAUAGCUGGGCCAAUAAUCAAUCCAAUACCCCAGGCACUACUAAUCGUUGACAUUCCCAUUGCUUGAUACUCUUCACGAAAAAUUUCUGCAGCAUAUGCCCUUAUUGGUCCCAUCAAACCAUUUAAGAAACCGAGAAGAAAUCGUGUAAUAAACUACAAAAGUGCCAAAAACUAUAACUGGUUUUCGUCCAUAUCGAUCAGCCACUGUUCCCCAUAAGACAGAUGUCAAAGCUCUACAUAACCUGCAUAUGUACUAAUAUCUUCCUCUCUCUUUGCAAUGUGAAAGUCCCU